rnacentral:snRNA from 1 species
AUCGUUUCUCGGCUAUUGGCUAAGAUCAAAGUGUAGUACCUGUUCUUAUCAUAAAGUGCCAAACUUUCCGAUAUAUAUAUAUAUAUGAAAUUUUUGCGAUUAAUAACAAGUAAU